GACGAACGCUGGCGGCGUGCUUAACACAUGCAAGUCGAACGGGCCCGCUCUCUUUUUUGGGGGUGGGUUGAGUGGCGAACGGGUGAGUAUCACGUGAGUAACCUGCCCCCUGCUCCUGGAUAACUGCUUGAAAGGGCGGCUAAUACGGGGUGUGCCGGCUGGUCCGCAUGGGCCUGGUCGGGAUAGUUUCAUCUUCGGGUGUUUCGGUGGGGGAUGGGCUCGCGGCCUAUCAGCUUGUUGGUGGGGUGAUGGCCCACCAAGGCGGUGACGGGUAGCCGGCCUGAGAGGGUGGGCGGCCACACUGGGACUGAGACACGGCCCAGACUCCUGCGGGAGGCAGCAGUGGGGGGUAUUGCACAAUGGACGGAAGCCUAAUGCAGCGACGUCGCGUGAGGGAUGGAGGCCUUCGGGUUGUGAACCUCUUUCUCCGGUGGUGAAGGCCCUGUCCGUUGCGGCGGGGUUGACGGUAGCCGGGUAUGAAGCGCCGGCUAACUACGUG
rnacentral:rRNA from 1 species